CCUGGUUGAUCCUGCCAGUAGUCAUAUGCUUGUCUCAAAGAUUAAGCCAUGCAAGUCUAAGUACGAGCUCUCGUACAGUGAAACUGCGAAUGGCUCAUUAAAUCAGUUAUGGUUCAUUUGAUCGUACAGUUUACUUGGAUAACUGUGGUAAUUCUAGAGCUAAUACAUGCGAGAAGCGCCGACCUCGCGGGAGGCGUGCAUUUAUCAGACCAAAAACCGGCCGCGUCUUCGGGCGCGUUCGCCUUGGUGACUCUGGAUAACUUUGCGGAUCGCACGGUCUAGCACCGGCGACGGAUCAUUCAAGUGUCUGCCCUAUCAACUUUCGUCGGUACGGUAUUUGCCUACCGAGGUUCUUACGGGUGACGGGGAAUCAGGGUUCGAUUCAGGAGAGGGAGCCUGAGAAACGGCUACCACAUCCAAGGAAGGCAGCAGGCGCGCAAAUUACCCAUUCCCGACGCGGGGAGGUAGUGACGAAAAAUAACAAUGCAGGACUCGUUCGAGGCCCUGUAAUUGGAAUGAGUACACUUUAAAAGCUUUAACGAGUAUCCAUUGGAGGGCAAGUCUGGUGCCAGCAGCCGCGGUAAUUCCAGCUCCAAAAGUAUAUAUUUAAGUUGUUGCGGUUAAAAAGCUCGUAGUUGGAUUUUGGGCGCAGGCGGCCGGUCCGUCGCAAGGCGUGUACUGGACGUCCUGGCCUUCCCUCCGGUUCUCCGCCGGUGCUCUUGACUGAGUGUCGGCGGCGGCCGGAACGUUUACUUUGAAAAAAUUAGAGUGUUCAAAGCAGGCUCUCGAGCCUGGAUAAUGGUGCAUGGAAUAAUGGAAUAGGACCUCGGUUCUAUUUUGUUGGUUUUCGGAGCGCGAGGUAAUGAUUAAGAGGGACAGACGGGGGCAUUCGUACUGUGCCGUUAGAGGUGAAAUUCUUGGAUCGGCGCAAGACGAACGACUGCGAAAGCAUUUGCCAAGAAGUUUUCUUUAAUCAAGAGCGAAAGUCAGAG
rnacentral:rRNA from 1 species